GCCCAUGUGGCUCAGUUAGUUGGGCGUUGGUACCAAGAGAUUGUUGGUUCAAUUCCCAGUCAAGGGCA
rnacentral:tRNA from 1 species